GACCAGACUCCUACGGGAGGCAGCAGUGGGGAAUAUUGCACAAUGGGGGAAACCCUGAUGCAGCGACGCCGCGUGAGUGAAGAAGUAUUUCGGUAUGUAAAGCUCUAUCAGCAGGGAAGAAAAUGACGGUACCUGACUAAGAAGCCCCGGCUAACUACGUGCCAGCAGCCGCGGUAAUACGUAGGGGGCAAGCGUUAUCCGGAUUUACUGGGUGUAAAGGGAGCGUAGACGGCAUGGCAAGUCAGAUGUGAAAGCCCGGGGCUCGACCCCGGGACUGCAUUUGAAACUGUCAGGCUGGAGUGCAGGAGAGGUAAGUGGAAUUCCUAGUGUAGCGGUGAAAUGCGUAGAUAUUAGGAGGAACACCAGUGGCGAAGGCGGCUUACUGGACUGUAACUGACGUUGAGGCUCGAAAGCGUGGGGAGCAAACAGGAUUAGAUACCCUCGUAG
rnacentral:rRNA from 1 species